rnacentral:rRNA from 1 species
CACGGGGGGAGCAAGCGUUGUUCGGAAUUACUGGGCGUAAAGGGCUCGUAGGCGGCCGUCUAAGUCAGACGUGAAAUCCCUCGGCUUAACCGGGGAACUGCAUGGGAAACUGCGGAGCUUGAGUCCGGGAGAGGAGAGUGGAAUUCCCAGUGUAGCGGUGAAAUGCGUAGAUAUUGGGAGGAACACCGGUGGCGAAGGCGGCUCUCUGGACCGGUACUGACGCUGAGACGCGAAAGCCAGGGGAGCAAACGGG